GCGGGAGUAGCUCAGUGGUAGAGCACUUGUCUAGUAUGUGCAAGGUCCUGGGUUCAAACCCUAGCACCCCUG
rnacentral:tRNA from 1 species